GAGAGUGGGUAGUCCGUACGAGCGCACCCUUGUCCUUAUUUGCCAGCACGUAAUGGUGGGAACUCUAAGGAGACUGCCGGUGACAAACCGGAGGAAGGUGGGGACGACGUCAAGUCAUCAUGGCCCUUAUGACCAGGGNCUACACACGUGCUACAAUGGAGCGUACAGAGGGUUGCUAAGCCGCGAGGUGGAGCCAAUCCCAGAAAACGUUUCGUAGUCCGGAUCGAAGUCUGCAACUCGACUUCGUGAAGUCGGAAUCGCUAGUAAUCGCGAAUCAGCAUGUCGCGGUGAAUACGUUCCCGGGCCUUGUACACACCGCCCGUCACACCAUGGGAGUGGGUUGCAAAAGAAGUGGCUAGUCUAACCUUCGGGAGGACGGUCACCACUUUGUGAUUCAUGACUGGGGUGAAGUCGUAACAAGGUAGCCCUAGGGGAACCUGGGGCUGGAUCACCUCCUU
rnacentral:rRNA from 1 species